rnacentral:rRNA from 1 species
CCCUUAGAUGUUCUGGGCUGCACGCGUGCUACAAUGGCGUUUCCAGCAAGUCUGCGAACCCGAGGGGGCCAGCGGAUCUUCGAAUUGGCGUCGUGAUCGGGACAGUCGAUUGCAAUUAUUUGACUCAAACGAGGAAUUCCUUGUAAUCGCGAUUCAUCAUAUCGCGCUGAAUACGUCCCUGCCCUUUGUACACACCGCCCGUCGCUCCUACCGAUUGAGCGAUCCGGUAAAUGUUUUGGAUUGGUGCCGGGGCGGCUAGCUGCCGGUCGCUACGAAAUUUUGUGAACCUUAUCGCUUAGAGGAAGGAAAAGUCGUAACA